GCAUAGGCAUUCCAGGGAUCCAAAAGGGAAACUGGCAGACCGUGGUUAGGAGCCGGAAGCUAACAAAUCACUGCUUAAACACAGGACGGGAGGCAAAAGCUCUAUCCAGUGCAAAAGCCAUCGCCUGGUAUGGGCCCUGGCACUCUCAGCUGCAAGGUCCCUGGAAUUAGAUCCCAGAAAGGCAUUCCAGGUUUACGUCAUUAAACCUUCUGGCAACGGGCUGAUGACCCUACCCUGAGUGCGUGUGUGUGUCUGGAGGCAUGGAGUGCUCCACCCCAGGGAUGGCCUGAGUUCAACAAAAUAGCAGAAGGCGGCUAAUCUCUCACUCCAGGCCUGGCAGCGUGAGCUGAGACAUCCGGCUUCUCAUUCCCUUGGACCAGGACAGACACCAGCAGCACUCCUGGUUCUCAGGCCUUCAGACUCAAACUGUAAUUCACACCACUGGCUUUCCUGGUCUCCAGGGUAGAAACACCAGAUCGUGGGCCACCUCAGCCUUGCAAUUGUGUGAACCAAUUCCUUAUAAUAUGGCUCAAUCUGAACUUAGCUGUAUGUUGAUCUUCCUGGUUAUGUUUCUCUGGAGAGUCCUGAUGCAGAGGGGACCUCUGCUUUACUCAGUCCACUGACUGAAAUGUUCCCCUCAUCCAGUAACAUUCCUCCCCUCCACACACACAGCACAAUGUUUGACCAGGUGCCUGUCAUCUUACAGCCCAGACAAGUAGACAUAGAAAAUGAACCACCCAGGGUGGUCAAAGACAAGGGAAGGGGCACAAAUAAAGUUAGGGAGGAAGGACCUUACACUUCACAGUAGCAUUUGAAGUUUAUUCUAAGUACUUUCAGGUAUUUUUGAAGAAAGUUAAAUAAGGAAUGACUUGGUCCCUUAUUCUGAAACCAAUCGCUUUUUCUAAAAUGCAAUUAUUUAUGUAUUUGAAAAUAUAUCUCCCAUCUGUUGGUUCAGUCUCCAAAUGCCAACGGCAGCCAGGGCUGAACUUUGCUGAAGCCAGGAACCAGUCAAUCUGGGUCUCCCAGGUGGGUGGCAGGGACCAAGUACUUGACCUGUCUACUGCCUCCUAGAAUAUGCAUCAGCAGGAAGCUAGAAUGGAGAGGUAGCCAGGAAGGGAAUCCACGCAGGCACUCCAGUAUGACAUGCAGGUGUCCCACUUAGCAGUGUAACUGCUGCACCAAGUGCCUGCCCCACCCCCGACAGAGGUGAGAGAGAGCUGUAGAAGAGAAAGUGGAGGGCAGGGAGGGGUGAUGGCAGCAGAGACAAGCAGCUCCACUAGAGGAAUAUUUUGGAGGUUUGGUGUGAGGGAGGGAAAGGGAUAAAUCACGAAUUAGCAAGCUUCUGAAAAAGACUGCAGUCUGCAUUCUCCGUGCUAGGAUGCUGAAUAAGACAGUUGCCACAUUCCUUAGAGCAGAAAUCAGCAAACUAUAGCCUGCCUGUUUUUAUAUGGCCCGUGGGCUAAAAAUUGGUAUGUUUUUAAAUGGUUGAAGAAAAUCAAAAGGAGAAUACUUUGUGACCUGCAAAAAAUUAUAUAAAAAAACUCACACUUCGGUGUCCGUAAAUAGUUUUAUGGAAACGCAGCCACACUCUUUGGUUUGUGUAUCUUCAGUGGCUGCGUUCGCCCUAGAACAGCGGAGUUGAGUGGUUGCAGCCGAGACCAUGUGGCUCACAGGACCUAGGAUAUUUAUUCUCUAGCUUUUCACAGAAAAGGUUUGCUGAGGCCCUUGCUGCUUUCUUCAGCAGUGUCUGGAAAUCCGGGAUGGUGUUCAUCUGUGCAGCUCAUCUAACGCUCACCUACCUCUUGGCAGGGUCACUGUCACUGGUGUGAAGUUCUGUUUUUUCCGCCUGUAACAGGAAAGUCAGCAGCAAAGGAGCCUUCUGUUCUGCAGCGUUAGGGCCUUGGCCCAUUCCAACAGCCGAUGAAGGCGUUUCCUGACAUGGAAGAGAACCGAGAGGGUUCUGGGAGUCCUGAGGUUGUCUGCUCUUGUACUGGAAGGGACGGCCUUGGGCAGUGUUGGGAAGCACACCGGUGGGCCUUGGCUCCCUGAGGUGAGGAGCAGACUGCCUGGGGGAAGGGAGGAAAGGCGGGCUGAGGGUAGCCCACGCCUAGGUAGCCCACACCUAAUCCUUCCUCCCCCCACAAUUCACUUUAAGGAAUACAACUUCAUGCAUUUUCAAGGACUCCUCUCCUGGCCAGAUUCAGUGAUUGUGGCUGCCAGGGUGAGGCUGUGUGCCAGGCAUCGAGCUUCUGGUGGCCAUGCAGUGCAGCAGGUUGGUCUCUUGAACACCUUGGUGUGGCCAAGUUUUCCUACAAACAGAAGCCUAUCCGCAGGGUUCCUCUGGUGCUGGAGCAAAACCCCCCAGCCUGCUUUUCAGAGCAAAUGGAGCGUUCCUUAGUCCUAUGAGACACAAUGCCUACGUGGUAGUCUCCAAUGGGUAUGAAUUGGAUGCAUUUUUUUUUUUUCCAUUUUGGGAAGACUAUUUGAACACUUAUAAUUGGGGUGCGAUCUCAUAAAACUGACGUGCGGGAUCUUCUUUAUGAAAAUCUAUUUCUGCAAAUGUGAGUGUGACUUAAGAUCAUAAAAGCUGGAGCCGGCGCUGUGGCAUAGUAGGCUAAAACUCUGCUUGCGGCGCCGGCAUCCCUUACGGGCGCUGCUCCAAGUCCUGGCUGCUCCACUUCUGAUCCAGCUGUCUGCUAUGGCCUGGGAAAGCAGUGAAAGAUCACCCAAGUGCUUGGGCCCUUGAAGCUCCUGGCUCCUGCUUUUGGAUCUGCCCAGCACUAACCUUUGCAGUCGUUUCAGGAGGGAACCAGCAGAUGGAAGACUCUCUCUCCAUCUCUCUCUAACUCUGACUCUCAAAUAAAAAUCUUAAAAAUAAAUCAUAAAAGCCUAGAAUGACUAUGUGGUGUGAGUUCUCAGCUGGACCCCUGUUUAGGUGGAGGGAUUUUUUCAGGAGUGCAUCCAGGGCACAAGGCUGUCCUCAGUCAUCUGAGAGGCACUUUUCCUACACCUCCAAGCAUUGCCCGUGAGAGUCCUGCUGUCAGAGUGCUGACAUUUAUAGCUCUAAUGGCAGGCCCAGGUUUAACAACUACAACCAGAAAUGCAAGGUUUCCCAGGACAGCUCUUGGCAUUGCUGAAUGGAGACCAGGGUUCUCUCUUGGGCUCUGUCAGAUUUCUAGAGCUGUGGCACAUCUUCAGUAAAAAAUAUCGACUGUGCCUUUCUCAUCUUUGUUUACUUCCUGUUUCCAUCUUAACCUGAUGUUCUGUUUCGCCGUUGCUUACACCUCAUGGAGAAAUCUGAAAAGAAUACUGAGUAGGAAGCAUUCUCAAAAAUGAAAAAAAAAUCUCCAGCAUUAUUUUUUCAUACUAUGCUAAUCAUUUUUGAAUAUAUUGUACAGAUGGUAGAUUGUAUUUUUGUGGAAAGUUUUUUUUAAAGCCAAGUUCAUAGACAUGAUCUUGAAUUUGUAAUGCUGUAUUCCUAAGUGUCUUUUUUGGCUGUCAAAAUAGCGCUGUCUUUAAAAAGUACAAUAUAGAUACCAUGGUGAGGCUGAUUACUUAAGCUUGCUUUCUUUAUAAAAAAAAAUUAAGUAUUUUCCCCUCACUAUAAAAGUAACAUAUUCAUUAUUGAAAAUUAGUUAAAUAAGAAAAAUAAAAAUAGGGACAAUGAUUCGGUUUAGGUACCACCCUUAGGAACAACCACCUCCUUUUCUUUUCUUCACCCCUUUUUUGAUCAUGAAAUGUGUAACAUGAGAUACAUUCCACAUUUGCAUGAUAUACAGUUCCACCUUAACUGCCUGUGUCUCAGGUACACAGGGGACAAAACAUUUGGCUUGGAGAACAGAUUAAUAGAGAGCUUAAUUAUGUGAAGGCUUUCCAGACAGAUGGAAAGAUCAUAAGUUUUAGGGACUUAGAAAACUCAGUUUUAAUAAUAGAAUUAAAAAUAAGUUGUAUGAGGGUACUUCAGAAAAUUCGUGGAAAAACUGAAUUAAGACAGAAUUCUUUUGGGACAACUUUUGAAGUCUAUGUGAAAUUUUUUCAUAAUACACAUUUCCCUCCAACUUCUUAGAGACUGUUUGUUCUUAGAAAGUUGUUUGCCUAUGUUUUAAAUGCAAGUUGGGGUAAUAGUAAUUUUGGAACGUUACCUAAGGGUCCUCAGGUGAUGCUGGCUGGGAGGCAGGUCCUUUGUGAUGGCAGGGGGCAGCAGUAGUUCUCACCUCUGAAGCGUCUACGGCACAGGGCUGGUGUAUUGUGUAUUGUAAAGAGACACAUAAGAAAAAUAUUUUAGGCCUUGCACACCAAGAAUGAAAAUCAAGAAUAUAAGACAGGUGUACUUACAUGAAUAUGACCAAAUAAGAAUGUAAAAAUCAUUCUUCAAUCACGGGCCGUAUGAAACAGGCAGCUGGCCAGAUUUGGCCAACUCCCGUCCUCGAAUGCCUUCACACAUCACCUGUACUCAGAACACCAGGCGGUGGUCAUGCCUCUGCUAAGCGGUGGGUUCCUGAUUCAGACCAGGCUGUCUGGACCUGGAGCAUCCCUCAUCUGCAUUCCACGCCCUGCCUGAGGGUCAGAGUAGCGGCCUGUGUAACCAACAGGACUGCAGUUCUCUGAUUCUGCAGCUCUACACUUUUUCCCUUUCUGAUCCCUCCUCCCUCUAGCCCCCUCAACCCCACCUUCCCCUGGAGCUCACCAAGUUCUCAGGGCAUUUUCAUUGGAUGAUCUCUCUUUUUUUAUGUUAAGGUUUGUUUGUUUAUUUUGAAAGAGUACAGACUAGGACGGAGAGGCAGAGAGAGAGAGAGAGAUCUAACUGUUGUUAUACUCCCAAAAUGACCGCAACAGCCUGAGCUGGGCCAGGCUGAAGCCAGGAGCUUCAUUUGGGUCUCCUCUGUGGGUGGCAGUGGCCCAAGUACUUGGGCCAUCCUCUGCUGCUUUUCCUAGGCCACCAGCAGAGAGCUGGAUCAGAAGUGAAACAGCUGGGUCAUGAAAUAGUGACCAAAUGGGAUGCUGGCAUUGCAGGUGGUGGCAUUGCCCACUAUGCCACAGACCUGGCCCUUGGAUGAUCUCUUGGUGGAAUGCCCUCCCCUGGUGGCUGACUGACUCCUCAGCCUUCAGGGUUCAGCCUAAAUUUUAGCUCAUUUGAAGAAUCUCUCCUCAAAUAUUUGUCCUUGUGCUCUAGGUGAUCUAUCACAUCAUCCUUUUUUCCCCGUUAUUUCCUUCCUUCCUUCUCUCCACUUAUGAGCAUUUUUCAUGUUCUGUAAUUGCUUUGUGUUGUCUCUUUGCUUGUAUGUCUAUCUGAUUCUACUCAAGAGAAUAUAAGCUCCAAGGAAGUAUCUGGACUUUGUUCUUUUCAUUAAUUCAUUCCCAGGUCCAGAAAGUAUCUGUAACAAAAUAGGUGCUUAGUAAAUAUUUCACCAUGUCUCCUUUAAAAAAAAAAGAAAAAAAAAAGGUUUGUUUAUUUGAAAGGCAGACUUGCAGAGAGGCAGAGAGCAAUCUUUCAUCCACUGGUUCACUCUCCAGAUGGCUGCAACGACUGGAGUUGGGCCAAUCCAAAACCAGGAGCCAGGAGCUUCUUCCUGGUCUGCCAUGCAGGUGCAGGGGUCCAAUCACUUGGGCCAUUUUCCACUGCUUUCCCAGGCCAUAGCAGAGAACUACUUAGGAAGUGGAGCAGCUGGGACUUAAACCAGCACCCAUGUGGGAUGACAGCACUGCAGGUGGUGGCUUAACCUGCUAAGCCACAGCGCCAGCCCCUUGACACAUGUCUUAAUUUUCUACUUAACUCCUUAUUUUUCAUAAAUCAGCUUAAAUUUUCAAUGUGAGCUUCUCUGAUCCAAUUCUAGGAAUGGUACUCCCAUUAUUUUUCUUUGUGGCUAUAUGAGCCACCUCCUACUUGGUAAGCUCUGGAUGUGGGGAAGAAUCUGUCUCUUACAGAGGGAGGUAUGAGAUGUGAGCCACAGGAACCCACAGCAGCCUGGAUCCAUGCACAUGGCCAAAGUUCGUCAGUAGUGAGAGAAGGAAAGUCACACAGGGAGAGACAUGCCUGGCAAAAUCGUGACUGAUCCAGUUGUUGUGGGAACCGAAGGUCCUGCUCCUCAAACGUUAAUGUUCCUGAGACUCCUGGGAUCUUCUACGAGUUCUGAUUUAAAUUAUCUGGGGUGAGGCCAAGAUUCUGAAUUUCUGACCUACUUUUAGAUGCUGUUGAAAGCAGCCAGCCAACAUACCAGACACAGGUCCAGGUCAGCAUUUCUCAACCUCAGCAAUGCUGACAUUUGGGGUCAGAUUAUUCUUGGUUGUAAAAGGCUGCCUUGGUACUGUAGGGUGUCUAGCAUGAUCCUGGCCUUUGCCUACUAGAAAUCAAUAGCCGUUGCCCAUUUGUGACAACCAGAAAUGUCUUCAGACAUUGCCAAAUGUUUCCUGGGUGAUGAAAAUUGUCUCCAUUUGAGAACUAGAGGCCUAUGGGCUUCUCUGCCCUACAUUUGCUUUUCAUCCCGACUUUGAAAUCUCUGGGCCAAUAAAUUUCCCUUUUGUGUGAGCUCAUUGGAUAUUUAUGAACCUCUAAUUGAGUCCUGCAGUUUACAUACAUGCAAGCCUGUACUUACUUGUGUGCCUUUAUCUGUAUUUCUUGUGUACUCAACCAGGUUCUGUAACUUCAUUCUGAGUGUCUUCAUUUUGAUGCUGUAAUUGAAUGCUUAACAUGGCAGCCAGGCUGUGGAAGGUAGUUGAAAAAUGCUGAUUGAAUGGGAUUUUAUAAGGGAUGAAGUAUAUAAGUCUUUUUUUUCCUCCCCUUUUGAGCCUCUAUGAUUUUUUUUUUUAGAUUUAUUUUAUUUAUUGGAAAGUCAGAGAGAGAGAGAGCUCUUCCAUCCACUGGUUCACUCCCCAGUUGGCCACAACGGCCGGAGCUGUUGCGAUCCGAAGCCAGGAGCCAGGAGCUUCCUUCAAGUCUCUCAUGCGGGUGCAGGGGCUCAAGGACUUGGGCCAUCUUCUGCUGCUUUCCCAGGCCACAGCAGAAAGCUGGAUGGGAGGUGGAGCAGCCGGGACUCGAACCGGCGCCCAUUUGGGAUGCUGGCGCUUCAGGCCAGGGCAUUAACCCGUUGCUCCAUAGCGCCGGCCCCAGCCUCUAUGAUCUUUUAAAAAAUGUUUUCUUCUGGUGCUUUAUCCUCAAAAAUAUACUUAAAUGUAUGACUUUAUCAGUUCCCACGUUACAGGUCUCUGGAUCAUGAGCAGAGUGUGCCCAGCAUUCCAGAUUGUUCCCUAGUGGCCCUUCCGACUCAUAUGAGCAUCUUUAAAGUUUCGUGUUUUUUUUUUUUUUUUUAAAUUAAUGAUAAGGAAUCUGUGUUUACUGUGGGAAAUUCCAAAAGUACAGGAAAGCAAUAGGAAAAAAUUAUACUUUCUUAAUACAUUCUCUUACUAUUUUGACAUUCAGCCUUUCUGAAUUCUCAGUACCUAUAAAUGCACAUAAACCUCUAUUUUCAAAUUACAGUAGGAAAAUGUAAUUCAUAUUGUUGUAUCUAGUUUUCCCCACUUAACAUUGCAUUGUUAAUAUCUUUAUGAAUAAGUGCAAAGCUGAUGCAGUAUUAUGAUGACAAUAUGGAAUUCAGUAUAUGGAUAUACCAUAACUUAUGUAACCCAUCUCUUUUUAUGGUCACUUUUCAAGAAUUGGAUGUUUACAUGGUUUUUAAUUUUCACUCUUAUAAAUACUUUUCUGACAUUUAAUUGAUACUUAGUUCUUUUCUUUAAGAUUUUACUUAUUUGAUAGGCAAAAUGACAGGGAGGGAGGGGAUGAGAGAGUGAAUGAAAGAGAUCUUCCAUCUACCAGUUCACUGCCCAAUAUGCUUGUAAUAGCCAAGGCCAGGCCAAGCCUAAGCCAGGAGCCCAGAGCUCCCUCCUGGUCUCCAUGUGAGUGGCUUCUUCUGCAGCUAUCUUCUGCUGCCUUUAUGGAAGCAUUAGCUGGAAGCUGGAUUGGAAGCAGAGCAGCCAGAUCUCAAAUUGGCGCUGUAAUGAAGGGUACUGGUAUCUCAAGUGGAAGCUUAACCUGCUGUUCCACAAUGCUGGCCCCUAAUUCUUUUCUUUCUUUCUUUCUUUUUUUUUUUUUUUUUGACGAGCAGAGUUAGAGACAGAGAAAGGUCUUCCUUCCGUUGGUUCACCCUGUCCCCCAAAAUGGCCACUAGGGCUGGCGUACUGCGCUGAUCGGAAGCCAGGAGCCAGGUGCUUCCUCCUGGUCUCCCAUGCGGGUGCAGGGCCCAAGGACCUGGGCCAUCCUCCACUGCCUUCCCGGGCCACAGCAGAGAGCUGGACUGGAAGAGGAGCAACCGGGACAGAACCAGCGCCCCAACCGGGACUAGAACCCGGUGUGCUGGUGCCGCAGGUGGAGGAUUAGCCUAGUGAGCCACGGCUUUUCUUAAGAUUGUUUUUUUACUGUUCAGUGGCUGAGGCAAGAAGAAUGAACUCUAAUAGAACCUUCAGUGCACACAAACUUGGUUGCUAGAUCCAUUUCCUUAAUUAGUUAAAAUUUUCAUACAUACAUGCAUGUGGAGAGAAAGUAGGUUUACUGUGUGCUGUUGAUGAAAUAGUCAGUGUGGAAGAAUAGAGUGAAGAGCAGAUAUUUCUUUUGCAAACCCUCCAUUAACUCUCCUGAAAGGUGAUGCCAUUAACAAUUUCUUAGAGGUAUAGGAAUAUUGACAUUAGUAGACAGAUAAGGCCUUUAAAGGUGGAAAUGCUCUUUAAAACUUGGAGUUCUCAGAAGACAAUAAAAGGAUUCAAUGGACUCAAUCCAUAGUCCAAUUCAGGGGUCAGCAAACUUUCUUACCAAGGGCCAGAUAAUAAUAAGGCUUUGCAAGCUAUAUGGUCUCUGUUGCAGCUACUUAGAUCUGAGGUUGGAAGGCUGAAACAGACGUAGAUAAUGCAUGAACAAGUAGGUGUGGCUGUGAUCCAAGAAAAUGGUACUGACAGUAACAGCUGGAUUAAGACUGCACAACCAGUUUGCUGAGGUCUGUCCUAUUAAAAUGAGUUAUAUGUAUUAAAAUGUGAAUAUUCACAGUAAUUAAUUAUACAGUUCAGAGAAUGGGAUGUGACAGAAAACUUGAGCCCUUCAUAAAGGGUCUGGGGGAAAGAUGUGUCUCAUGGUUGGCAAUAGUCUCCCUGUGGGCCAUUCUGGUUGUGUAUUUGGUAUCCUAUAUACUUCAAUGUAAGAAGUGGGAUCCCACAUGGACAUUUAAUCUGUUGCACCACAACACCUGUCCCUUAUUAUUUGAGAGGCGGACAAAGCCAGAAUGAAAGCUCUCACAUCUGCUGGAUCCCCAGUUGCCCACAGCAGCUGGAAGUGAGCAAGGCCACAGCUGGGAACUGUAACAGUCCAGGUCUCCUACAUGGGUAACAGGGACUCAGUCACUUGAGCUGUCUCACUGCCUUCCAGAAUCUACAUUAGCAGGAAACUGGAAUUGGGAACAGAGCUGACUGGAACCCAGGUACUUUGGUAUGAGACACAAGCAUCUUAAAAAAAAAAAAACUAUGAACUAUAUUGAACCUGUGAAAAACUAAUAAUUUUUUAAAAAGAGAAAAAAAUGAAAAUGCAUAUUAGGAAAAGCAUUGCAUGGAUUUCAAUUUUUCUUGCACCAAAAUAAACAUCUUUUAAUUCCAUUUUCCAUUAACUUUUUGAAGUAUGCUCAUAUUUAAUGUGACCUGUGAGCUUCCUGUGGUGGUUUUUUUUCCCCCUCUGUUUCCUUUCUAAUUAACAGUUAAAAAAAAAAUCACUGACUCCAAGACUUAGUAUAAAGCACACACACACACACACACACACAUUAUUUUAUUUACUUGAAAGGCAAAAUUUCAGAGAGGAGAAACACGCUUUUAUCUACUGGUUCACCCUCCAGAUGGUUAGGCUAGGCCAGAAUCAGGAGCCUGAGCUUCAUUUAGGUCUCCCAUCUGGGAGGGAGGCAGGGGCCCAAAUACUAGGGACAUCUUCCACUGCUUUCUCAGGUGCAUUAGCAGGGAAACUUGAUGAGAAGUAGCGCAGCUGGGACUUGAACUGGCACUCUGACAUGGGAUGCUGGCAUUGCAGGAGGCAGCUUAACCCACUGUGUCACAACACUAGCCCAGGUAUCCUAACCAGAGUCUCAACCACAAGACCAAAGACCCAUCCCAGUUAUGUUGAUGCACGGAGAGGAGUAUUUUUGGUGCUUGUUCUAUCUUUGAUGAAGGAUUUGGGGAUCAAAAGUGAUUUUCCUUGUUGAAAGUUGUCAAAAAUAGUCACAAACCAGGGUUCUGUGGCUGAGAAAGCAACUUGUAUGUCGGGAACAAAACAAUUUCAGACCUGGUUGGCUUAAGAUGCAAAAGUUUAUUUCUCACUCAUUCAUCAGGUUCAUCAUGGGGCAGCUGAGGGCUCUGGCCACAUUGUCGUUGCUCUGGGAUCCAGGCUGAGUGCACAGUUGGGUCUGCUUCCAGGUGCUUCUGUUCCAUCCAAGUCAGGGCCCACAGUCUCUGGCCCAUUAUGACCUUCUCCCUGCCUAUGCUUGAGGAAUGAAGUUGAGUGUCCUGUUCCCUACCAGCACUCUCCUGUUUCCACGAAAACUUCCUGAACUGCGUUCUCAUUUGUAAGACUUAGGAACAUACAUCACUGGAUCUUUGCUCGUGUUAUUUCCUUGACUUGGUGAGGCUGGGAAAUCUUGCCUACCUGUCUGCUGUGAAGAGGGUGAAAUUGUUUGGCAACAGCUACCAAGUCACUGGCUAACCUUUAUUUAGAGUUAAUCUACAUUCAAAUUUGGAUUCCCAUCACUUCCCAUGGAGGUAGGAGGCCACUUUGUGGAAUGUGUUGUGGAGUGAGGUGGUAGGAAAAGGGAUUAAGUCCUUGAUAAAGAAAAGUGAAUUGCUUGCAUUGUUAUUCUGUGUUCCAGUAGUUCUAUGUAAGUCUUUCCAUAUUUAUGAUACAUUAAGCUACAAUACUUUGUCAUUUUCUGACACCAAAUUUUUUCAGAAGACUACUGGAAAUACAGUGUGUCACAUAGUACUCCCAUACAUGGUACCAGUAGUUUUUUUUUUUUUUUUUUUUAAGAUUUAUUUAUUUGAAAGGUAGAGUUACAGAGAGGCAGAGAGAGAGAAAGAUCUUCCAUCCUCUGGUUCACUCCCCAAAUGGCUGCAGCUGGGCCGACCCGAAGCCAGGAGCUUUUUCCAGGUUUCCCACAUGGUUGCAGGGGCCCAAGCACUUGGAUCAUCUUCUGCUUUCCCAGGCCAUAGUAGAAAGCUGGGUUGGAAGUAGAGCGGCUGGUUCUCUGUUGCCUAUAUUGGAUGCCAGUUCUGCAGGCAGUGGCUUUGCCUGCUACACACAGCACCAGCCCCAGUACCACUACUUUUAUUUCUAUGUCACGGUAACACUGCCUUGGUUGAUUAAGUGAUGUAUGUAUUAUGAAAUUUAUUUGGAUGAAUGGGGAGUUCCUGUAAGUGUGGCAUGUAUCUUAGUGGUACUAAUGUUUGAAGGAAAUGGUUUCCUGGAAUUCAAGAUAGUAAGAGAAUUGUAAUUCAAUCAGUGUAAUAAGUCACUGAACUUUGUGUAGAAGGGCCUACAUUUAAAUUAAAAACGUUAAAAGCAGUAACCUGUUCUCAAUUUUGGUAGUACCAGGAGAUAAUGGAGCUUUUAAGUGGAAUGAAUUCAAUUUACAAGUACAGCAAUUGUACCUCCAGUUGCCUGUGUUUUCCACAGUGUAUGUUUUAUUCUUUCAAAGCUUUAUCAAUAACUAAAGUAAAUGAACUGUCUGUUUCCCCUCUGUUUGCUAUUUAAAAUUUUCUCUAGUUUCUGAAUUAUAGGACUUUUUUUUGACAUCAGGAUUAUAGGUGUGUAUGCGGUUGUGUCAGGUGUAUAUUUUCAUUAUUUCCUGGCCAGAAAGAUGAUUUUAAACAUAAACUAAGACUCUCAGGAAUUACAUGUUUGAUGGUAAAGGCAUGUUUUCUUAGGUGGUUUUGAUGUGACUGAGCUCAGAUCUCCCAUUUAGAGUUGACACCCUUCAGCACAUGAAGCUUCAAGACGUGCAUCCUGCUUUCAUAAGCAGGUGCCCCAGGGAGUCACCAGAGGUGCUGAUUGCCUUCAGGAACUGGUCAGUCUCCGAGAGAAAUCAAGACCAUUUUCUUCCUUAGGGAUAUUACAUUAGAUUUCUAGGACUGCUGUAAGAAAUUAUGAUGAACUUGAGGCCUUAAAAUCAGCUGAAUUGAUUCUCUCUCAGUUUUGGAGGCCAGAAUGAUGAAAUGAGUUCAGCUGGGCUGUGAGUAGAGCUGGAUGCCUCCCUGGCCGCUCUAAGGGAGAGUCCAUUCCUUGCUUCUCCCAGCUUCUGGUGGGCGCUGGCACUCACUGGCCUGUGACAAAACACUCCCACCUGUCUCUGGUCACAGGCCUUCUCCUCUCAGUCUUUGUCAUGUAUUCCUCUGUCCCCCUUUAAAAAGGACAAGUGGGACUGCCUUUCCAGUCAUCCCAGAUAAUCCAAGACAAUCUUCCCUAUUUCAAGAUUCAUAACUUAAGCAUAUUAGCAAUAUACAUCUUUAAAACACACUAACAUUCUCAGGCUCCAGAGAUUAGGAUGUGGCUGUAUUUUGGUGGCAGUAGGGGGAACAAUAUUCAGCCAAUCGCAGGCAUCAGAAGCCAUUGCAGAAGUGACUUUUCCAGAAGAGAGUUACUGAUCAUAAUGCUGUCUUUUCUAUUUUGUCUAAUCUGGGUCCCACUUGGUUAGAAAUAGAGCGUUCUGGUGAUAUGUUACACUUGUCUUAAGAAAGUGAAGUUCUCCUUUCUUACAGAAGGACAGCUUAUACACCAUGGCACAGGAGGAAGAAGCAAGUCUAGCAGUUUUGGGUCAUUUUUCAUGUUUAGUUUUCAUUUUUGAUGUAGGUUUUCUAUAUUCUAUUGGUUAUGAAGAUGAAAAUGCUAACACUGUGAGUAUUCUUAUUAUAAAAGUUCCCCUGGGAAGAAAGCACAUUAGACUACCUUUAAGAAUGAAAUUUAUAUUUAUUUUUCUGAUUAGAAAACUAUGGCACAUUUUAGGAAAUUUAUAAAACCCAGAACAGCAUGAAGAAGGAAAAAGUCUUGUAAUAUUAACCACCUAGAAAUGACUGCUAUUGAUAUUUUGCUUUCUGUUACGAUGCUGCAUUAGUUUCCUCCCUAGAGUGUUCAGCAGUUGUUAUACUAUUUGUCCACACUGAUUUGAAACAACAUCAUUAUUAUUAUGGAGAAAUAGGUUUUUGGGAAUUCUGGAGAACUGAUGAAGUGGAGCUGUUAAGGCUUAGGCUCUACUUUUUUUUUCUUUUUUGAGGGCUUGGCCUUUCUCACCUGAAUUUGAUUCAGGUUCAAAGAGGGCCUGACACUUAAAAGCAUAUCCUUCCCGGGAAGUCCAUCAGUUGUUAGUGUUAGUUCUUCUUGAAUACAUCUUCAAACAUGCUUUUGUAGAAUCCCAAUGCUGAGAGAUGUUUCAGGAAGGAGGGGGGCAUGGAACAGGUUAUUCAGAAACAAGUUUAGAAAUUCUGAAUCCUAUAAACACUUUUUUUAAUUGAAAACAUUUGAGAGGCAGCAAGAGCAAGACAGAAAGUUCCCAUCUUCUGGCUCACUCCCCAGAUGCUCACGAUGGCAGGGGCUGGGCCAUCCCAAAGCCCAGGGCUGUGAACUCAACCCCAGUCUCCCACAUGAGUGGCAGGGACCCAGUUACCUGAGCCAUCACCACUGCUCCCAGGAUCUGCAUUACCAGGAAGCUGAACUCGGGAGCCAGAACUGGAAUUGAACCCAUGUACUCUGAUAUAGGACAUGGGCAUCUUAACCAGUAGGCUUAUAUCCCACCCAACAGUGCAUAUGCUCUGCCAGUCACAGUGCAUAUUAAAAUGUCAGAGACUUCCUAAGAUAAAAGAGCUUAUUAAACCUCGAGAUCCUCCCCGACCAGCUGAUACAUUUUUUGCUAACACCUAUAAUAAGGAAUUUUGUGGAGCAUAAUUUGUGAAACACAGUAAUAAUGAAUUUAGGUAAGGCAUAGCCAAAUGAUUUUGGUAUGACAGUACUUUGGUCAAAAAGGGCAUUUAUGUAUACUUGUAUGUAUGUAUAUACUUAUAUACAUGUAUUUAUGUAUAUUUGUAUAUCCAUAUAUUAAUAUUUGUUAGCAUCCUUGCCAAAAUUAGUUUCUCAAAAGUGGCUCAUUUGAUGUAGCAUUAUAAAAGCCUUAUAAAGAUGCCUUACAUCCUAAUAUAUUAGAUGGCUUUUCUCUACCCUUGAGGGAGUUAGAAAUUAAAAUCUAGGAAUCAAGCAGAGUGAAAGUUCAAGGGAGGAGUGGAAGAGAUUUUUGUGUUUUUUAAAAUAUGUAGUGUGAAAGCCUCCCAACCUCUCCCACCAAGUGUCAUUUUGGCCCGAAGCUGAAUCAGUUCUCAUCUGAUUAAAUCAGAACCAAAUUCUGCUAUUUCCUGACUGCUGUGAAGUGCAGAUUUUUAAAAUGUGUCAGAAAGCAAGAAUGUAAUCCUAGUAGGAAACAACUCUCUUAAAAGAGAAUAAUUAGCAUUUCAUUUAAAUCAUCAGUUUACAACUUUUUAACAUACAAAAUUAUUUAUCAUAUUUAUGUAACAUAAUUAUUAAGCAUCUGGUCAGAAUAUCAGCAUUAAUUUCGAAAUUCAGUUUUCUAAAUUUAUACACAUGAAGGUUUGAGAAAUCUUAGUGGUGAAUGGGAAAUCAUACUAACUUUGUUUUAGUAUCUUAUCUGUCACAUUGGAGAACUAUAAUUAAAUGUAUGAGUGUUGUACUUAGGGAAUGGAGAGAAGACUCGGAGACUAUCAACAAGUGUCUCAUCCCAAAAUUGCUUAUUUGAACUUAGGAAGCAACCACAGAUAUGCUCUGUAACACGUUCUUGUUACAGAAACAAACUUCAGCAUUUGGGGGAGUACAACACUGGAUUCUCUGGUUGACUGAAAAUUAAAAGGCCCAUAAGGAGAAAAAGAAAAGGCAACUGUCAUUGCAAAAAAUUUGCUACCGGAUGAUUUUACUACUUUUAGCUAAUUUGUCUUCACCGCAGUCCUACAGAGCAGUGAGUGGCUUUCAAAGGAAUACCAGACCUUUAGUGUCACUGAUGUGACGGUUUGGUCUAUGUGUCAGUUUGCCUACGUAGUGAUGCCCAUCGCCCCCGUCUAGAUAUUGCUGUGCAGGUGUAAUUUAGACAUGAGGAACAUUGAACUCAGUUGACUCUGAGUGAAGCAGAUAACUCUCCAUAAUACGGAUGAGCUUCAUCCAAUCAGUUGGAGGCCUUGAGAGAAAAGACUGAUCAGCCAAAGAGGGAGGAAUUCCGAUUCACACUGCCUUCUCACCCCCAUGACACUGACUGCUGGAAUGUCCAUUCUGCUGACCUGCCCUGAAUAUUUUACACUUGCCAGGCCCACAGUGGGGGGAGCAGAUUCCUCAGAAAUCAAUCCACCUCAUUCUCCAUUCCUGCCACUUUACACACACACCCUAGUGGUUCUGUUUCCCCGAGAACCCAACAGGUAUGCCUGGGAACUUACUAGAAAUGCAUUUCCUUGGCCUCACCGCACCCCUGCUAGGUCAGAAACUGGGGAUAGGACCCAGCCAUCUGAUUCAACAAGCCCUCUAGCUGAUGUUCAUGACCUCUAAGUUUGAGGGCCACAGUAGGUAAAGGGAAGAGGCCUCUGAAUUGAGGUUCAGAAAAAUUGAUGUGCUCAGCUCCAUCCAACAGGUUAAUGGUGUGGCCAAGAUUGAUUCUUGAUGCUUUGAAAAGAUAAAGUAAUAUUCAUGAGUGUCCUAGUAAUCCUUAAAUCCCUCUUAAAGUUCACUGUUGUGAUACCCAUUUUUCUUAAGAGACACCUGAAAGGAAAGAAUGGUGUGUAGAUACUGGUUCCAAGGCUUUGUACCUCUAGCAAUCCCUUUUAUUAUUUCAUAUGCGGAAAGAGUUUGACAAACCAAGCUAUGUUUCAGGGUAGUGGUUGUUUUGUUGUAACUGCAGCUCAGAGCUCCUCAUGAUCAUGGGGUUGCCAGUGCUUCAGCAUUGCGGUGAUGUAACCCAGGCCAAAGCAGAGAUGUCUGAUGUUUUGGUUAACUGUAAACCUAAAGGUAGGAUUUCCAUUAGGCAUUUUGAAUAUUGAAAAACCUAAGGACUUCAUUACUAUCCUGAGGUUUUCAAAGGCACCUGGAGACCCUUUGUUGGAUAUCUUGGCACUGAAGGAUGUUUUCCGGUGAAGAUGCUAAGUGAUGCCAUGUUACACGUUAGGAAUGCCUAAAAGAUAAAUUACUGUUAAAAAUGCCCAAAUCCCAGCAGUGCCCCAUGUUUGUAGUCACCAAAAUGGAUGUUCUGUUUUGGGUGGGGAUCUCAGUCAAGCAGUAGAUCAGAUACUCAGGGUCUCCCUUUCUUGGGGCUCUGCUGUUUUCAGUGUGUGACUUCCAAGGCUGCUGUGGAAGGGGGAGCACAUGGAGAAUUUUCACAGUCAGGCUGGGAACUGGCAUUCAUCAUUUCCAUCCCCGUUCUGCUGUCAAGAGUUCAGUCACAUGGCCCACACACGACUGCAAGGAGAGGCCAGGGAAUGUAGUCCGUGUGCCUGGGUUCAAGAAAGAUGAGUUUGGUGAUAGGCUGGCUAUCGCUGCGAUCUGGGCCUGGUGUUCUCCAAUGUUGCAAGUUUGGAAUUGUGCCCAUGAUGAAUGUGUGUCCUCUUGGGAUUCCCACAGCCUCACAGAUGUGAGGGGUGGGAAUGUGUUCAGUUGUGAUCCAUGACACCUGACUCUCUGUGUCCUUACCAGCUUGUAGGAACAGAUCUAGAGCCACAGGAGUGGGAGCUCAUGUUGCACUGCCUCUUGCCCAUGCCUACAGCAGAGACCUACAGCCUUGGUUUCUGUCUAGUUGUAUCUGAUACACUACUCUCUCAGCCAUGCUUAUCACAUAGUGUCUGCCAUCUUUUCCUCCUCCCUCCGUGUGCAUCCAAACCUCUUUUCUCACCAUUUAUGUUCACUGCCUGUUGAGUCACCGAGGGCAGUCUAGUGCUGCUGCUGUGCUGAGAGUACUGUCUCUGGGGCACCAUAGACCACCGUUCCCUAAGAGGAUGGGGUCAUGUUGAUUCAGGGCAGAAGUCAAGAGAAUACCCAUUGUUAGGGAGUCGCUUUCAGUGGGAACUCAGCUGGAGCAGGUAAGUCCCACGUGGCUUUAUUCCCCCAAGCCUCUGUCUAUGUGUCCUCUUAGCCUUCCGUGAUCUGUCCUGGGCUUCCUGAGAACUGGGCAGCUGGGCUGAGAGAGGUGAAUGCCAGGUCUCUCCUGGUCUUGGAAGUCUCAGCAUAUCGCAUCCUCUGGAUUUUUAUUGCCCAAGCAAGUCACAAAGCCAACCUUGAUUCUAUCUCUUCUGUUUUUGGGAAUGGCAGGAAUACUUGGUAGCUAUCAUUGGAGAUUAUCACUGUGUCUUGUUACUCUCUCCACUUUGUUACCUGCAUCUCAAGGCUGUGCUACCUGGAUUUCAGUAUAUCAGAGAUAAUCAAUAAAUCAUUCCACUAGCAGAGUAACCUUUAUUUUUGUUCUUCAGAGAGCUCAGGCUAAUAAUAUCAUAAUACCUAUGUGAAGUGUGCAGAGAAAAUAAUGGUAGGCUGCUGGUGGGUGUUCAUAUUAAGAGUUAAGCAAUGGCCUGGAUUCUAAGCUGAAGGACCAGGGAGCCUUAAACUAGUGGUGGUAGACUGUAAAGCAGUAGUUAAGGAAGAUGAAUCUCAAAAUGGUAUAUAAAGAGCUUUGCUUGGUGACAACAGUAAGUAAGAAUGUAUUAUUUCAAAAAUCAUCACAAGAGUAGGUUUUAAAUGUUUACAUCACACAAAAAUAUAAAUGAGGUAAUGAAUUUGUUCAUUAGCUUUAUGUCAUCAUUCUGCACUAUACAUGUAUAUCAAAAUAUCACAUUGAAUGUCAUCUAAUACAUACAUGGGACAUAUGCAGUUAUUAUUUAUCAGAUAAAAAUUGAAGUCAAUUUUAGAAAGAGAAGCAAAAGAGAGUAUCAUUAGCCAUGCUAUUGACCAUGGCCACCAUGUGCAGACAAGAAACGAGUAGUCCUAGAUAGCAGAAAGAAUAGUGGAGCCUGAAUCAGUCAUGAAAGGCAGAGGAGUCAGCAGCAAGCCUCGGAGAGGAAGUGGGGAGACAGAAAGGUAGAACAGAAGGCUGGGUGCAAUAAACUUCCACAAAUAGUUUUUACACACUCUUAAUGGGAGUGGGAACUGUGGGAUAACAGGUUAAGCUGCUGCUUAGGAUACCUGCAUCCCUUAUCAGAAUAGCAGUUCAGGGGCAAGCGCUGUGGCGCAGUGGGUUAAAGACCUGGUCUGCAGUGCUGGCAUUCCAUGUGGGCACCGGUUCAAGACCCGGCUGCUCUACUUCCAAUCCCGCUCUCUGUAUGGCCUGGGAAAGCAGUGGAAGAUGGCCCAAGUCCUUGGGCCCCUGCACCCAUGGGGGAGACCCGGAGGAAGCUCCUGGCUUUGGAUCGGAACUGCUCCGGAUGUUGAUGGCCAUCUGGGGAGUGAGCCAGCGGAUGGAAGACCUCUCUCUCUCUAUUUCUCUCUCUCUCUCUCUCUCUCUCUCUCUCUCCCUCUCACUCUCCCUCUGCCUUUCAAAAAAUAAAAUAAAUCUUUAUAUAAAAAAGAAUAGCACUUGAACUGCUCUCUACUCUCUUUCUGAUCCAGCUUCAUGCUGAGGCAUCAGGGAAGGCAACAAACGAUGGUGCAAAUACUUGGAUUCUUGCCAUCUGUUGGGGAGAGCACAGUGGAGUUCCGGGUUGCUGGCUUCAACCUGGAGUAUCCCUGGCUGAUGUGAGCAUUUGGCAAGGGAACCCACAGAUUCCUUCUCUACUCCUCUCUGUGCCAUGCUGCCUCGCAAAUAAAUAAAGCCUAAAAGAGAGUUCUGACUUAAACAUAAAAUUCCUAAACUAGUCAGAGAGGCAAUUGAGACACUAUUUUAUUUAUACUUAAUUUACUCUAUCAGUCAAUUUCUAUUGUGUUAUGCUAGGGUGGCAAAUUGCCCCCAAAUCACAGUGACUUGCAAGAACCCAAGUUUGAUUUCUCAGCCACAUUAUGGCUGUUCUAGUCAGCUCAAUUCUGCUUCUAUCAACUCCAUUUUGCUAUCUAGGUUGAAGAAGCACUUCCUGUCUAGGACACGCCUGUGUCAGGGUGGAGUAAAAAUUAAAUUUGGUGGAAGUAUGUGAUAGCGUUCAGAGUUUUGCCAGGAGUUGCACAUGUACUAUAAUUUUUGUUUUAUUACAGUCCAUUGUAUAGGUAGGCCUAAUGUCUUUGGGGACAAGAAUUCUCCUCUCAUAAGAAGAAACAGCAGGGAAGGGUCAGCAGGAAGGAGUAAUGGAUGUUGCCAUGGGUCUAUUGUUUUCUAUUACACAAAUAAUGAAAAGUCAUCAUACAAAAGACUGGCAAGCACUUGGAGGACAUUCCAAGUCCAACCCCUAACCCCGUUUCUCUGGUGCUAUUAGUGUUUUAAUAUAAAUAUUUUCAGACAUUUUUACCUGGGAAAUUUCUAUAAUGGAAUUAAAUGAUGUGCUAUCUUGUAGCUUGUGAAAUACAAUGAGCAUGCAUGCCUGUCAGUAAACAUACAGCUACAUCCUUUAUCAUAUUGGCCCUCUGGGAUUCUAUUGUGUGAAUUUAAUUAAUAACUUAUUCUUUGUCCGUUUAGGUUUUUCCAAUUUGACUUUUAAUAAACAUCUUAGAGGUAUAUGUUUUACCUGUGUAUCAGAUUAUUCCUCUUGCAUGAAUUCUACCAGUGAAAUAAUUUAAAGCAAUAUCCUUUUUGAUACAUCAUUGACAAAUUUUAUAGCUUAUUUUUUAAGGCCCAACUCUCCCUUUUCUCCCUCUUAAAAUGGAGUAGUGUUACCAUAGCAAUAGGAAAAAAAAAAUCAGUUCUCUCAUGGAAGUGCCUAAUUUGUCUUUGUCUUCGUUUUAACUCAGCAAGUUACAUUUUGUGCCAAGGUUGGCAUAUAGAACACCUGUGCGGGGCCUGUUGUGGGUUAGAAGGUCGGUGCCCUCUGAGAGAUGACCUCUGCCUCUCUGGUUACCUUGCUUAACAAAUUGGCUGCCCUGUUGUCUGCUGGGAACUGCUUUGUCAGGCACAGUUGGCCAGAUAAGUUACACUGGGUAGGGAAGAGUCAGUGACUGAUAGGUAUCCCUUUAGCCUGUAAUUUGGGAAGUGAUGGCCAUAAGCAGUACAGUUUAUGCAAAGGUCAUUAUUUUUUAAUGAUAGAUUUGUUUUGACAUCUUGUGCAUUUCUUAAGAUAGUUAAGAGGCACAGUCCAAGCUAUCACAUCUGAAUUUUCUCAAGGAGAGGAAGAAAAUUAAGCCAUGAUGAUUGCUUUGGCACCUUCUCCCUUUAUCCUACCUUCUCAGAAGAAUAUACUGUUCUGAAGACUAAGUCUAAAGUCCAGAUUCUGAAAAUGGUUGAAUUUAAAAAUGGUACAAGUGUGAUACUGGAGGUGUUCAUGUGUGGAGGUACUCAUGGGGUGGGUAAGGGGUGGACCACCUUUCUUGGGGUGUGGGGAAGACAGAGGUGAGCAGUAGAAAAUUUUCCUCAUUAGCCAGCUGCUGAGGUCAAGCUGGAAACUCUACCCUGAAGCCACCUUUCUACCACUCUUCAGUGAUGUUAACCAGCAUACCAAAUUGCCUAUUCUGUUAUGGCAGGAAAUAAAUUGACAUGCAUGUUUAAAACAUGCAGAAUUCCACAUGGUAACUGGAGCAAGAGCCCUUAUGCAGCUUUCUUAUCUUUUUUUUUUUUUUCUCUAUAAAGAAGACAGGGUAGUAAAGAAUUGAGACCUGAGCUUUAGAGAAAGAGACUCAGGCUUUGGUUCUGUCUGCUACCUUCCAGCUGUGCAAACUAGGCGUUUACCUUCAACCUCUGUGCCUUCUCAUUUAUGAAAGGAGGCACUGUAGCAGUGUUCAGCUUGCAGGAUAUUUAUACAAUUAAAAUACAUAAGACAUGUAUUUGUGUGAUCCCUGCUGAGCAUAUAAAGAGCUCAAUAAAUGGUGCAUACAUACGUGAGAUGUGUGUACAUGAGGGUACCUCACAAAUAGGGAAUUAAAAAUAAAUCCACUUUGGUGCAAAAUAUUUUGGAAUUCAUGCAUAUGAGGAUCUUCAAAAGGUCUGUGGAUAAGCAAAUUAUGAAAGACUAUGCAUGGGUUUUGAAUUUUGAUUUUAAUUGAAUUGAAAGGUAAUGCGCAUUUUCCACAAAUGUCUUGAAGCUCUCCUGUAUACAUGAAAAUGCUUCGGGAAGUUCAUGCAAAAAUUAAAAGCUGAGCUUAUUUUGGUGUGAAACAUUUUUGAAAUUCAUACAUUUGGUGCUCGGUUAAUUGUCACCGAUCAGGGAAAACAUGAUAUUUGUCCCUUUGGGACUGGCUUAUUUCACUCAGCAUGAUGUUUUCCAGAUUCCUUCAUUUUGUUGCAAAUGACCGGAUUUCAUUUUUUUUUUCUGCUGUAUAGUAUUCUAUAGUGUACAUGUCCCAUAAUUUCUUUAUCCAGGCUACUGUUGAUGGGCAUUUAGGUUGGUUCCAGGUCUUAGCUAUUGUGAAUUGAGCUGCAAUAAACAUUAAGGUGCAGACCGCUUUUUUGUUUGCCAAUUUAAUUUCCUUUGGGUAAAUUCCAAGAAGUGGGAUGGCUGGGUUGUAUGGUAGGGUUAUAUCCAGGUUUCUGAGGAAUCUCCAGACUGACUUCCAUAGUGGCUUAACCAGUUUGCAUUCCCACCAACAGUGGGUUAGUGUCCCUUUUUCCCCACAUCCUCGCCAGCAUCUGUUGUUGGUAGAUUUCUGAAUGUGAGCCAUUCUAACCGGGGUGAGGUAAAACCUCAUUGUGGCUUUGAUUUGCAUUUCCCUGAUUGCUAAUGACCUUGAACAUUUUUUCAUGUGCCUGUUGGCCAUUUGGAUUUCCUCUUUUGAAAAAUGUCUAUUGAGGUCCUUGGCCCAUCUCUUAAGUGGGUUGUUUGUUUUGUUGUUGUGGAGUUUCUUGAUCUCUUUGUAGAUUCUGGUUCUUAACCCUUUAUCUGUUGCAUAGUUUGCAAAUAUUUUUUCCCAUUCUGUCAGUUGCCUCUUCACUUUCCUGACUGUUUCUUUUGCCAGUACAGAACUUCUCACUUUGAUGCAAUCCCAAUAGUUAAUUUUGGCUUUGACUUCCUGUGCCUCCGGGGUCUUUUCCAAGCACCAAAAAGGAAACCUGUUGAAGUGAAACAGACACUAUGAGAAACAGUGACUUGAUCAGCCCUUGUCCUGAAUGUUGAUGAACAACUUAAUACUUUAUCCCGUUUAGUAUUUUUUUUUUGUUCUACUUAAUACUAUUGGUUGAACUCUGUAAUUAACACACAGUUAUUCUUAGGUGUUUAAAUUUAACUGAAAAGUGAUCCCUGUUAAAUAUAAGAGUGGGAAUAAGAGAGGGAGGAGAUGUAUAAUUUGGGACAUGCUCAACCGGACUUGCCCCAAAUGGUAGAGUUAGAAACGUGCCUGGGGAUUCCAAUUCAAUCCUGUCAAAGUGGCAUGUACCAAUGCCAUCCACUAGUCCAAGUGAUCAAUUUCAGUUCACAACUGAUCAUAUUGAUAGGUCUAAGAGUCAGAGGGAUCACAUAAACAAGACUAGUUUCUGCUAAUACUAACUGAUAGAAUCAAAAAGGGAGAGAACAAUCCAGCAUGGGAAGCGGGAUACACAGCAGACUCAUAGAAUGGCAGAUGUCCUAAACAGUGCUCUGGCCUCAGAAUCAGCCCUUAAGGCAUUCAGAUCUGGCAGAAGGGCCCAUGAGAGUAUUUUAGGCAUGGAAAGCCAAGACACUCAGGAAAAAAAAAAAAACCUAAAUGAAAGAUCUCUGCGAGUGAGAUCCCAGUGGAAAGAACAGGCCAUCAAAGAAGGAGGUACCUUUCUCUGAAGGGAGGAGAGAACUUCCACUUUGACUUUGACCUUGUCUAAAUAUGAUCAGAGUCGGUGAACUCAAAAGGCUUCCAUAGCCUUGGCAGCUCAUGACAAGAGCCUAGGGUGAUUACAGACGCCAUAAACAAGAAUGUCAAUUUGUUAAGUCAACAACAGGAGUCACUAUGCACUUAUUCUUCAUGUAGGAUCUCUGUCCUGAAUGUGUUGUACAAUGUGAAUUAAUGCUAUAACUAGUACUCAAACAGUACUUUACACUUUGUGUUUCUGUGUGGGUGCAAACUGUUAAAAUCUUAAUAUAUACUAAAUCGAUCUUCUGUAUAUAAAGAAAAUUGAAAAUGAAUCUUGAUGUGAAUGGAAUGGGAG